GCUCCCCCUUUUCCCUCAUAACAGCGACGACCGACGCCACCGUAUCAAACCCAGUUUCCACAAGCAGCAGCAGCAGCAGCAACAAUGGACCCUCUCUCCGCCCUCCGCGACUUCACAAUCCGCGGCGAGCUCGACAAGAUCGUCCGUGUCAACGACGAGUUCCGGUUCGGGUCCGACUACACCUUCCCCUGCUUCGCCGAGACCGCCUACCGCUCCAAGCAAGGCAAUCUCUACACCCUCGAAACCCUCCUCCACUACGUCAACAACCACCACGUCAAGCACACCGAGUACAUCCAGAACGCCCGCACCCAGGGGAUCCCCACCGUCACUUUCCCCGAUCGCAAGCCCCUCCUCGAUUACCUCACCGGCAAGAUCUCCACCACCGACUCCAUCGAAUUCGUCCUCCCUCAAAACCCUAAAUUCCCCGAUUUGCCCCUCAACGACUUCCCCUUCUCCGACCACCAGAACGACGUCGCUCACCACACCCCGGACCACAGCUUCGCCGAUUCCAAGGAUUUGAACCAGAUUGAGGCCCCCGUGGACUACAUGUCGUUGAUUUACUCCAGCGAGAGGCCGUUGAAGGACCGCGAGGAGCUGCUGGAGUGCAAAGGGAGGAACUUUUACGGCGUGUUGACGGCGGCGACGAAGAGGGAGGAGGAACGACAGCGUAUUGAGUCGCAGCAGAGGAAGGAUGGGCUGGUGGCCAAGAGUAGGUUAAUGGGCUCCGACGACAGGGGCAUGGCGGGCUACGGUGACGAACUGGGCUACGACCCGACGCCCAAGCCCAAGAUGCAUUUGAAGGGAGGGAAGAUUGGGGAAGGUGUGCCUAUAAUUCUGGUGCCGAGUGCGUUCCAGACGCUGAUUACGAUUUAUAAUGUGAAGGAGUUUUUGGAGGAUGGGGUUUAUAUACCUACGGAUGUGAAGGUGAAGCAGAUGAAGGGAGCUAAGCCGGACUGUGUUACUGUGCAGAAGAAGUUUAGCAGGGAUAGGGAUAGAGUUGUGACGGCGUAUGAGGUUAGGGAUAAACCGUCGGCGUUGAAGACUGAGGAUUGGGAUAGGGUGGUGGCGGUUUUCGUGUUGGGGAAGGAGUGGCAGUUCAAGGACUGGCCUUUCAAGGACCAUGUGGAGAUUUUUAAUAAGAUUAUGGGAUUUUUCAUGCGGUUUGAAGAUGAUAGUGUGGAGUCAGCAAAGAUUGUGAAGCAGUGGAAUGUGAAGAUCAUCUCGAUUAGCAAGAAUAAGCGACACCAAGAUAGAGCUGCGGCAUUGGAGGUGUGGGAUCGGCUAGAAGAGUUUGUGCGGUCACGGUCACAUUCUUGAUGUGUGCAUCAAGUUUCGGGGAGAAAGAUGUGUUCUGAUUUUGGUUGUGACCAUUUGGCCCUUUGUACUCGUGGGAUUGGAAAUGUUUUUAUUAUUUAUUGGAUAUUGUAUCAUUAUAUCUUCUGGAGGAGUGAUAAAGUUAUGUCAUUCAAGAGCACACGGAGAGAUGCUUGGUUGGAAGUUUUGUUACAUCUAUCUUGAGUUUCAGCAACCCUUCAUCAAGAGCCCAGGAGAAUACCUCACAUGGUUCACAUAGUUGCAAACCUUGAAAAAAGGUUUGGACACAAUUUGAUGAUAGUAAAGACUUUUCUGUAAUGCUGAUGGACUUUACUUGGGGUGAAGAUUGCUACGUGAUUCACCUGUGGAGUAAAAUGUAUGUGGCAACUGCGAAUCUUUGGAACAUUGUGUGGGGGUAUAUAUCCUAGCAUCACAAGGAGAGUCAGCUGGAGAAGCAGCUGCAUAAAUAUAGUAGUACAGGCAGUUAGCAGAAGGUUAAAAUCUACAAUGAGGCAAAAAUCAAAGACUUAACAUCCGCAUGUUCUUACCGUUACACUGGCUGAGGGGCGGAGUCUG